rnacentral:rRNA from 1 species
UACGUAGGGUGCGAGCGUUGUCCGGAAUUACUGGGCGUAAAGAGCUCGUAGGUGGUUUGUCGCGUUGUUCGUGAAAACUCACAGCUUAACUGUGGGCGUGCGGGCGAUACGGGCAGACUGGAGUACUGCAGGGGAGACUGGAAUUCCUGGUGUAGCGGUGGAUGCGCAGAUAUCAGGAGGAACACCGGUGGCGAAGGCGGGUCUCUGGGCCGAUACUGACGCUGAGGAGCGAAAGCGUGGGGAGCGAACAGG